CAUGAGUGAAGUUUACUCAUAGUUUGUUGUGGUGCCGUUUUUCUUUUUGCAGCUGAUUUUAUUUUUGCAAUGGAGCCUUCUUUUAUUUUAAUUAGUGGCAUCAGGAAUCAUGGAUUUUCAUAUGGCCUGUUUUGGGGCUGAAGAUAGAAGAAUUAGAAGACAUCAGACGGUAAGUGUGAGUGGUAGGUUGGGACUUUUUAACUCCAUUAUAGCAAUAGGAGGUCUUACUGACCC